rnacentral:misc_RNA from 1 species
AACUGAUACUACCUGCGGGAACCUGCGGAAGGAUCAUUAAAGAGAAAACUGCCCUUUGGGUAGAUCUCCCACCCUUUGUUUAUAUUACCUUUGUUGCUUUGGCAGGCCCGUCUCUGACCACCGGCUCUUUGGCUGGUCUGUGCCUGCCAAGAGACCUCCAACUCUUGAUUUGAAGUUGUCCAAGUCUUAUAUAAUAGUAAAAACUUUCAACAAUGGAUCUCUAGAUCGGAAGAGCACACG